GAACUGAAGAGUUUGAUCCUGGCUCAGAUUGAACGCUGGCGGCAUGCCUUACACAUGCAAGUCGAACGGCAGCGCGGACUUCGGUCUGGCGGCGAGUGGCGAACGGGUGAGUAAUAUAUCGGAACGUGCCCUAGAGUGGGGGAUAACUAGUCGAAAGACUAGCUAAUACCGCAUACGAUCUAAGGAUGAAAGUGGGGGAUCGCAAGACCUCAUGCUCGUGGAGCGGCCGAUGUCUGAUUAGCUAGUUGGUGAGGUAAAGGCUCACCAAGGCGACGAUCAGUAGCUGGUCUGAGAGGACGAUCAGCCACACUGGGACUGAGACACGGCCCAGACUCCUACGGGAGGCAGCAGUGGGGAAUUUUGGACAAUGGGGGCAACCCUGAUCCAGCAAUGCCGCGUGUGUGAAGAAGGCCUUCGGGUUGUAAAGCACUUUUGUCCGGAAAGAAAUCCUUUGGGCUAAUACCCCGGAGGGAUGACGGUACCGGAAGAAUAAGCACCGGCUAACUACGUGCCAGCAGCCGCGGUAAUACGUAGGGUGCGAGCGUUAAUCGGAAUUACUG
rnacentral:rRNA from 1 species